GGUUAGCACUGUCGCCUCACAGCUAGAAGAUCCCCGGUUAGGACUCCCGGGAUCUCUCUGCGUGGAGUUUGCAUGUUCUCCCCGUGCAGCGUGGGUUCUCUCCAGGUUCUCCGGCUUCC